rnacentral:lncRNA from 10 species
GAAAGAAAGAAAGAAAGAAAGAAAGAAAGAAAAGAGGCACUUACCUACCAAGUCUAAUUGUAGGAGUUUCUUAUAAAGGCUCCCAAAAGCAGUAAGGAAGAAUCACAUCAGAGCCUCCACUUUCUGCUUGAGGAUAACAUCAUUGUUCCUUUGUUCCAGACACAUGGGUGCUCAACCUUUUAAACAUAACACAACAGGAAAACACAUGUAAAGAAGCCUAAUGAAUCCUCAUGGCUUGCUCUGUCCUCUGCCUCCUCUAUUAGUACCAACUGGUAGGAGCACCCCAAGCUUUUGGCAGGGACAUCUGUGAUGUCGAUACCUGUGAUGACAGGUAGAUAUCAGUCUAGGUCAAGGCUACUGCAUCUUUGCAAAUUUGAAGCCAGCCCUUUGCAUAAUCGUGAAUUCUGAUUUUGCUAUUUCCAAGAGUUGUUUUUUUUUUUUUUUUUUUUUUUUUUUAGACAGAGUCUCACUCUGUCACCCAGGCUGGAAUGAUGUAGUGGUGCAAUCUCGGCUCACUGCAAGCUCCGCCUCCCAUGUUCAAGUAAUUCUCCUGCCUCAGCCUCCAGAGUAGCUGGGAUUACAGGCGUGCACCACCAUGCCCAGCUAAUUUUUGUAUUUUCUAGUAGAGAUGGGGUUUUGCCACAUUGGCCAGGCUGGUCUCGAACUCCUGACCUCAAGUGAUCCACCUGCCUCGGCCUCCCAAAGUGCUGCGAUUACAGACAUAAGCCACCGUGCUCGGCUUCCAUGAAUUAUAUUUAAGGAAUUAUUUGAUUAAAUACCAGACUAUGUGACACAGUAAGCCCACUUCAACCUGCUAACCCAAGGUAGAUGCAAAGUGGCUCCAGGCAAAGCUGGAACUUGGGACUGGACACUUCCCUGGGUUGGUUUUGGUCACUCUCCCAUCCUCAGCCAGCUCCUUCCCUUGCUUAACCGGAACUCUCUCAUGUCCUUGCAGCCCCGGCUCUCCAAGCACCCUGUCCCAUGUCCCAUUCUCAGUGCAUCUGAGCUUCCCGCAAAUGGCAAAGCCAG